GAUGAACGCUGGCGGCGUGCCUAAUACAUGCCAGUCGAGCGAACAGACGAGGAGCUUGCUCCUCUGACGUUAGCGGCGGACGGGUGAGUAACACGUGGAUAACCUACCUAUAAGACUGGGAUAACUUCGGGAAACCGGAGCUAAUACCGGAUAAUAUAUUGAACCGCAUGGUUCAAUAGUGAAAGACGGUUUUGCUGUCACUUAUAUAUGGAUCCGCGCCGCAUUAGCUAGUUGGUAAGGUAACGGCUUACCAAGGCGACGAUGCGUAGCCGACCUGAGAGGGUGAUCGGCCACACUGGAACUGAGACACGGUCCAGACUCCUACGGGAGGCAGCAGUAGGGAAUCUUCCGCAAUGGGCGAAAGCCUGACGGAGCAACGCCGCGUGAGUGAUGAAGGUCUUCGGAUCGUAAAACUCUGUUAUUAGGGAAGAACAAAUGUGUAAGUAACUAUGCACGUCUUGACGGUACCUAAUCAGAAAGCCACGGCUAACUACGUG
rnacentral:rRNA from 1 species